CACGUAGGGCGCAAGCGUUGUCCGGAAUUAUUGGGCGUAAAGAGCUCGUAGGCGGUCUGUUGCGUCUGCUGUGAAAACCCGGGGCUCAACUCCGGGCCUGCAGUCGAUACGGGCUGGCUUGAGUGCGGUAGGGGAGACUGGAAUUCCUGGUGUAGCGGUGAAAUGCGCAGAUAUCAGGAGGAACACCGGUGGCGAAGGCGGGUCUCUGGGCCGUAACUGACGCUGAGGAGCGAAAGCGUGGGGAGCGAACAGG
rnacentral:rRNA from 1 species